CUCAAUUUCCGUACCGACUAUUUUGAAGUCAGUGCUCGUCUUAAGGGAUGCCACGAUGUGAAAUCUCAUCUUCUUACUCCUUGCUUCAGUUGUGGAUGUGAAUGCUGUAGUACAUUAUAUCAACUUAUUUUUUAUUUGUCAAGUCAUUUUCAAAAAGUAGUGCUCGGUAAAGAUUUUUCGCUUUGGGAGCGGCCUGCGGAGUAUCAGCUUGUUGGUAGGGUAAAAGCCUACCAAGGCUAUGACGCUUGGGGGAGGUGAGAGCCUGGCCCCCACCGAUGGGACUGAGAACGGCCCAUACACCUACGGGUGGCCGCAGUCGAGAAUCUUCCGCAAUGGGCGAAAGCCUGACGGAGCGACGCCGCGUGAUGGAUGAAGUCUUUCGGGACGUAAACAUCUUUUAUGACUGAAGAAGUCCGCAUCACACUGCGUGUGAUGCGGUUAGGCACUAGGCGUUAGGCACUAGGCACUAGGACAUUUUCGCCUUUGGCGAAAAUGUUUCCUAAAGCCUAAAGCCUAAUUUCCUAAAGCCUAGCCGUAUCGCGCAUAGCGUGAUGCGGAUUGACAUUAGGUCAGGAAUAAGGGGCUGCUAAUCACGUGCCAGCAGCAGCGGUAAUACGUGAGCCCCAAGCGUUAUCCGGAAUUACUGGGCGUAAAGGGUGUGUAGGCGGUUUCAUUAGUCUUUCGUUAAAGCCUCCGGCUUAACCGGAGAAAUGCGAAAGAAACGGUGAAACUUGAGAGUGCGAGAGGUCUAUGGAACUCAUGGUGUAGGGGUGAAAUCCGUUGAUAUCAUGGGGAACACCAAAAGCGAAGGCAAUAGACUGGCGCAUUUCUGACGCUGAGACACGAAAGCGUGGGUAGCGAAAGGGAUUAGAUACCCCUGUAGUCCACGCCCUAAACGAUGUUCUCUAGCUUUUUGGAGUAUCGACCCUCUGGGAGGCGAAGCUAACGCGUUAAGAGAACCGCCUGGGAAGUACGAGCGCAAGCUUAAAACUCAAAGGAAUAGACGGGGACUUGCACAAGCGGUGGAUCAGGUGGCUUAAUUCGACAAUAAACGAAGAACCUUACCAGGACUUGAAACCCUAAUGACGUAUCAAGGAGACUUGAUAUUUCUCACAAGGACAUUAGGGCAGGUGAUGCAUGGCCGUCGUCAGUUCGUGGCUUGAGCUGUUCCCUUCAGUGGGGAAACGAACGCAACCCCUAUCGUCUGUUAUACGUGUCAGGCGAGACCGCCGCGUAAGUUGGAGGAAGGUGGGGAUGACGCCAGGUCAGCAUGUCCCUUUGAUGUCCUGGGCUGCACACCUGAUACAAUGGUCAUUACAGAAGGUUGCGACGGGGUAACCCUGAGCUAAUCCUUUAAAAGUGGCCUCAGUUCGGAUUGAGGGCUGAAACUCGACCUCAUGAAGUCGGAAUCGCUAGUAAUCGCGGGUCAGAUAUACCGCGGUGAAUACGUUCCCAAGUCUUGUACUCACCGCCCGUCAUGUCAAGGGAGCCGGGAGUGCCCGAAGUCCCUCCACUUUGUUUGCAAGCAAACAAAGCGGAACAUUUUCCGCCUUUGGCGGAGACCUUUGACUGUUUUG
rnacentral:rRNA from 1 species